UUCUGUGAGACAUGCACUAAAAAUCAUGAACUGAAUAGAGACACUGGAUUUAUGGCUUAUUAUAAUAAUCUAUAACCCACUUACUAC